AGUUUCCCUCAGUAUAGCUGGUGCAUUUAAAAAUUAUGUAAAAUAAUCUUAUCUGGUAAAGCGAAUGAUUAGAGCCCUUAGGGUCGAAACGACCUUAACCUAUUCUCAAACUUUAAAUGUGUAAGAACCACACCUUUCUUGGUAUGAAGGUGUGGUUGUGAUAUAAUGUGCCCAGUGGGCCACUUUUGGUAAGCAGAACUGGUGCUGUGGGAUGAACCAAACGUAAUGUUACGGUGCCCAAAUGGCCCCCAUACAACGGUACCCCCCGAUAUUUGGUAUUUUAUUUAUUUUAGCCCAAUAUAUCAGUA
rnacentral:ncRNA from 2 species